CCAAAAGAUAAUCUUUCAACAUUGAAAGAUCUUACCUUUGUGCUGGCUUUGACAGUUUUGUACUUUUGGGGCUUUAAAAUGGUUCAGUAGUUAAAGGAGGGAGCAAUCCUUUUUUUAUGCUACUGGGUCGGCCCCAAAUAAUCAUAUCAUCCUUUAAAAUUUUUUCUGAUUAAUUAACACAUGAUUUUAAUAAUCUGUUUAAAA
rnacentral:misc_RNA from 1 species